rnacentral:rRNA from 1 species
GAUGAACGCUGGCGGCGUGCCUAAUACAUGCAAGUCGAGCGAACGGACGAGAAGCUUGCUUCUCUGAUGUUAGCGGCGGACGGGUGAGUAACACGUGGAUAACCUACCUAUAAGACUGGGAUAACUUCGGGAAACCGGAGCUAAUACCGGAUAAUAUUUUGAACCGCAUGGUUCAAAAGUAAAAGACGGUCUUGCUGUCACUUAUAGAUGGAUCCGCGCUGCAUUAGCUAGUUGGUAAGGUAACGGCUUACCAAGGCAACGAUGCAUAGCCGACCUGAGAGGGUGAUCGGCCACACUGGAACUGAGACACGGUCCAGACUCCUACGGGAGGCAGCAGUAGGGAAUCUUCCGCAAUGGGCGAAAGCCUGACGGAGCAACGCCGCGUGAGUGAUGAAGGUCUUCGGAUCGUAAAACUCUGUUAUUAGGGAAGAACAUAUGUGUAAGUAACUGUGCACAUCUUGACGGUACCUAAUCAGAAAGCCACGGCUAACUACGUGCCAGCAGCCGCGGUAAUACGUAGGUGGCAAGCGUUAUCCGGAAUUAUUGGGCGUAAAGCGCGCGUAGGCGGUUUUUUAAGUCUGAUGUGAAAGCCCACGGCUCAACCGUGGAGGGUCAUUGGAAACUGGAAAACUUGAGUGCAGAAGAGGAAAGUGGAAUUCCAUGUGUAGCGGUGAAAUGCGCAGAGAUAUGGAGGAACACCAGUGGCGAAGGCGACUUUCUGGUCUGUAACUGACGCUGAUGUGCGAAAGCGUGGGGAUCAAACAGGAUUAGAUACCCUGGUAGUCCACGCCGUAAACGAUGAGUGCUAAGUGUUAGGGGGUUUCCGCCCCUUAGUGCUGCAGCUAACGCAUUAAGCACUCCGCCUGGGGAGUACGACCGCAAGGUUGAAACUCAAAGGAAUUGACGGGGACCCGCACAAGCGGUGGAGCAUGUGGUUUAAUUCGAAGCAACGCGAAGAACCUUACCAAAUCUUGACAUCCUUUGACAACUCUAGAGAUAGAGCCUUCCCCUUCGGGGGACAAAGUGACAGGUGGUGCAUGGUUGUCGUCAGCUCGUGUCGUGAGAUGUUGGGUUAAGUCCCGCAACGAGCGCAACCCUUAAGCUUAGUUGCCAUCAUUAAGUUGGGCACUCUAAGUUGACUGCCGGUGACAAACCGGAGGAAGGUGGGGAUGACGUCAAAUCAUCAUGCCCCUUAUGAUUUGGGCUACACACGUGCUACAAUGGACAAUACAAAGGGCAGCGAAACCGCGAGGUCAAGCAAAUCCCAUAAAGUUGUUCUCAGUUCGGAUUGUAGUCUGCAACUCGACUACAUGAAGCUGGAAUCGCUAGUAAUCGUAGAUCAGCAUGCUACGGUGAAUACGUUCUCGGGUCUUGUACACACCGCCCGUCACACCACGAGAGUUUGUAACACCCGAAGCCGGUGGAGUAACCUUUUAGGAGCUAGCCGUCGAAGGUGGGACAAAUGAUUUGGGGUGAAGUCGUAACAAGGUAGCCGUAUCGGAAGG